rnacentral:rRNA from 1 species
UACGGAGGGUGCGAGCGUUGUCCGGAUUUAUUGGGUUUAAAGGGUGCGUAGGUGCUGUAGUCUAGUGUGAAUAACAGCCGCUCAACGGUUGAGGUGCCAUUGAUACUGACAAGCUUGAAACAAGUGGAGGUUGCCGGAAUGGAUGGUGUAGCGGUGAAAUGCAUAGAUAUCAUCCAGAACACCGAUUGCGAAGGCAGGUGACUACGUUUGAUUUGACACUGAGGCACGAAAGCAUGGGGAGCAAACAGG